rnacentral:rRNA from 1 species
UACGGGGGGAGCAAGCGUUGUUCGGAUUUACUGGGCGUAAAGGGCGCGUAGGCGGCCACCGCAAGUCGACUGUGAAAUCUCCGGGCUUAACCCGGAAAGGUCAGCCGAUACUGCGGGGCUAGAGUGCAGAAGGGGCAACUGGAAUUCCUGGUGUAGCGGUGAAAUGCGCAGAUAUCAGGAGGAACACCGGUGGCGAAGGCGGGUCUCUGGGCCGUAACUGACGCUGAGGAGCGAAAGCGUGGGGAGCAAACGGG